rnacentral:lncRNA from 1 species
GUGAGGUUUUCAUGGAGGAGCUGGUCUGUCUUAUGAGUAGGGUGCACUUUAUUCUCGGCCUGCUUUUAUAUUGUCCACAAGGCCGAUAAUAGCUUUUUUAAAAAAAAAACUCAUUUCUUCGAAGUGUGAUUACAAAAUCAUUGUAAACCUACUGCUUACAUCAUUGGACUGUAUUUCAUAAUGAAGUCACUCAACAUGAAGAAUAGACCUGGUGACUCUCCUGGAACUGUUAAGUGUUUUAUGAUGUAAAAGUCUUCUUUUUCUAAUGAUUUGUAAAAAAUAAAACAAAAUGAUGAAGUAAAAUUGAAGUAAAGACAAACAAACAAAAGGACAAAAAACAGAAAAAAUCGGAAAACCUGCAAAGGUCACUGCUUCCUCUUUCCUGCCGGGGCUGUCUAUGACAGGUUGUCCUGGCCCAGAGUGAAGAUGGAAAGAAGGACUAUCUUACAGAGAUGCAAAGAAGAAUCUGCCAAGCAUCCGACUGAACCGCACUGGCAGUUUAUUCCUAUGAUGUCAAACAUAUUUAUCAAACAUACCCCUAAAGCACAAUAUUCUCUUGAGUCAUUUUGAUCUUUAAGGUUUCUAUUGCAAAAAAAAUGCUUUGAC